AGUGCUGAAUAGCUCACCCGCUAACAGGGAACAAGAGCUGAGUGCAGACCGUCGUGAGACAGAUUGGUUUUACGGAGUUGCCGUAAUGUAAUGGCAAUCCAAGUUCGAACGAGAGGAACCCUCGAUUCGGACCA
rnacentral:rRNA from 1 species